GGAGUAUGCACACAAAAAUAGGCGAUAGGGGGGGAUAAAAAUGUCAGAGAGCGUGUUUCAGUUUGUUACUAAUAGCUCCGCUUCUGACAGUGGUAGUGCCAGUGGUGAGGAGAUAGCUGAUGGUGUCGAUCUGCACUCACCUGAUGGUUUACUUGAACCUGUACUUCUCUCAUCUGUAACAACCAC